rnacentral:rRNA from 1 species
AUUGAACGCUGGCGGCAUGCCUUAUACAUGCAAGUCGAACGGUAACGCGGGGCAACCUGGCGACGAGUGGCGAACGGGUGAGUAACGCAUCGGAACGUACCCAGUAGUGGGAUAGCCCGGCGAAAGCCGGAUUAAUACCGCAUACGACCUACGGGUGAAAGCGGGGGAUCGCAAGAACUCGCGCUAUUGGAGCGGCCGAUGUCAGAUUAGGUAGUUGGUUGGGUAAAGGCCUACCAAGCCUACGAUCUGUAGCUGGUCUGAGAGGACGACCAGCCACACUGGGACUGAGACACGGCCCAGACUCCUACGGGAGGCAGCAGUGGGGAAUUUUGGACAAUGGGCGCAAGCCUGAUCCAGCCAUGCCGCGUGCGGGAAGAAGGCCUUCGGGUUGUAAACCGCUUUUGUCAGGGAAGAAACGCUCUGGGCUAAUACCCCGGGGUAAUGACGGUACCUGAAGAAUAAGCACCGGCUAACUACGUGCCAGCAGCCGCAGUAAGAC